rnacentral:lncRNA from 1 species
AUGUUCUGAUUGUUCUGAUACAAAUCUACUUGGCUUCCUCUGUUUAUAGAAAUUUCUUUAUAUCCCACAAGGCCAAACUGGAAGAUUCAUCACAAUGUGAAAAGAAUGAAUACUUACACAAAAUAAAACAGCUGGCUGAAAAGCUGCAGAAAGUUAAUUUAGAAAACCAAGAGCUACAAGAGCAAGUGUACGCUGUGCUCCAACAGUACAGGAAUGUGCUAAGUGAGGAGGAUCAAGUUUUUUCGCAGAAACGGAAGUUCCAUGAUGAAAACCAGAGACAACUGGCAUUUAUUGCACAAAAAGAAACCUUCCUAGCGCAAAGACGGGUAGACAUCAAAACUAUGGAAGAAGGACUUGUUACACUUGACGGUCUUAUUAAGUAUGUUUUAUGCUUUUUGUCUUUGGGACUGUUAAAUCAUUUCUCUGCAUUUCAUUUUUAAAUAAAUGAUAACAAUAAAUCUAUGUCAAUUUCUAAUAUGCUACAAAAAGAA